rnacentral:rRNA from 1 species
AACCUUUACACUGCACGACAGUGCGAUAGGGGGACUCCGAGUGCGAGGGCAUACAGUCCUCGCUUUUCUGUACCGUAAGGUGGUACAGGAAUAAGUGCUGGGCAAGACCGGUGCCAGCCGCCGCGGUAAUACCGGCAGCACGAGUGAUGGCCGAUAUUAUUGGGCCUAAAGCGUCCGUAGCCGGCCAGACAAGUCCGUUGGGAAAUCGACGUGCCUAACACGUCGGCGUCCAGCGGAAACUGUCUGGCUUGGGGCCGGAAGACUCGAGGGGUACGUCCGGGGUAGGAGUGAAAUCCCGUAAUCCUGGACGGACCGCCGAUGGCGAAAGCACCUCGAGAGGACGGACCCGACGGUGAGGGACGAAAGCUAGGGUCUCGAACCGGAUUAGAUACCCGGGUAGUCCUAGCCGUAAACAAUGCUCGCUAGGUGUGGCUCACACUACGAGCGUGCGCUGUGCCGUAGGGAAGCCGCUAAGCAAGCCGCCUGGGAAGUACGUCCGCAAGGAUGAAACUUAA